CAUUGUGAGAAAAGAGAAAACAGAAAAGUCUAAUAUUUUUGACCUCUAAAUCUUUAGCAGAAAAAACACACGAUGCAGUAGUUCGUUAACACCAGUUAUGUUGUCAUCGAGUCUAUCCCUGUUGACGUUUCUGACAUGCGCAGUAACGUCCUACGGUCACAGUCCUUACAGAGACUCAUGCAAUAAGAUGGCGGUUUUCGACCAAUUCAAAAAAGAUCAAGCACUAAGUGGUCACGUGAUAGCAAACCAUGAAGUCACUUCUUACCCUGACUGCGCAUUCCAAUGUCUUCAAACUAAAGGUUGCAAGUCGUACAAUUUUCAAGACGAAGGCACUCCACUUCACGUGUGUGAGCUUAGUAACCACACGAGGACCUCUGCGUCAUCUGAUUAUGUCAUGAAGCCAGGCUUUACGUACUAUGACACCGAAAAGUUUGUAAGUGCUAUACUUAUAU
rnacentral:lncRNA from 1 species